UAUGCACGCUGGCGGCGUGCCUAAUACAUGCAAGUCGAGCGAACAGAUGAGUAGCUUGCUCCACUGACGUUAGAGGCGGACGGGUGAGUAACACGUGGAUAACCUACCUAUAAGACUGGGAUAACUUCGGGAAACCGGAGCUAAUACCGGAUAAUAUAUUGAACCGCAUGGUUCAAUAGUGAAAGACGGUUUUGCUGUCACUUAUAGAUGGAUCCGCGCCGCAUUAGCUAGUUGGUAAGGUAACGGCUUACCAAGGCAACGAUGCGUAGCCGACCUGAGAAGGUGAUCGGCCACACUGGAACUGAGACACGGUCCAGACUCCUACGGGAGGCAGCAGUAGGGAAUUUUCCACAAUGGGCGAAAGCCUGACGGAGCAACGCCGCGUGAGUGAUGAAGGUCUUCGGAUCGUAAAACUCUGUUAUUAGGGAAGAACAAAUGUGUAAGUAACUAUGCACGUCUUGACGGUACCUAAUCAGAAAGCCACGGCUAACUACGUG
rnacentral:rRNA from 1 species